GACGAACGCUGGCGGCGUGCUUAACACAUGCAAGUCGAGCGGUAAGGCCCUUUCGGGGGUACGACGAGCGGCGAACGGGUGAGUAACACGUGGGCGACCUGCCCUUAGCUCUGGGAUAAGCCUGGGAAACUGGGUCUAAUACCGGAUAUGACUCCAUGACGCAUGUUGUGGGGUGGAAAGCCUUGUGCGGCUAGGGAGUGGGCCCGCGGCCUAUCAGCUUGUUGGGUGGGGUGAUGGCCACCAAGGCGACGACGGGUAGCCGGCCUGAGAGGGCGACCGGCCACACUGGGACUGAGACACGGCCCAGACUCCUACGGGAGGCAGCAGUGGGGAAUCUUGCGCAAUGGGCGAAAGCCUGACGCAGCGACGCCGCGUGA
rnacentral:rRNA from 1 species